UUGUGGUCGGACCAAAAACAAAACGAAGAAAAAGAAAGAAGUGAUUGUCAUGUUUGAGCAGAAAGCGAGAGAAGGGUGUCUGGUUUUGUUUUGAUAAGAUCGACUUUGUAGCUUGAGUGGGUGCAAGUUCGUAAGUUUUCUCCUUUCUGCUGCAUUUGCGUUUGUUAGUUUUUGUGUGGUUUGGCUUUUGAUUGGGUCUUUUGUUGUCGGCGGUUUUGAAUUUUUAUGGGUUUUUGAUUGGGUCUUUUGCUGUGAGGAAGAAGAAGACCUGCGCUAGCUGCUAUAUCCUUUCAGUAUAUAGGCGAAUCGAGCUUCAUCUUCGCUGUUCUGUGUGAUCAAGUUUUGCCAUCGACGUCAACCCUGGUGGGAUUUUAAUUAGGUGUGCAGAUUUUGCAAUUCAUGAUGAGCAUGGAGGUUGAUUAGCUGCAGAAUAUGCUAAGAAGGAUUUGCAUACAUUUGAUUGAGAAAGCAGCCGAGAAAGCCAUUUUGCAUGGUACAAAUUUAUUAUGCAAUUCUGCAACUUUGCAAGAUGCGUCUUUUUAUUCUAUACUUCAUAUAUUUUGGAUUGCUUCUUAGUAGGUGAAUGUAUUUGAGUUUUGAUUACAGGGGCUAUGGCUGGUUGCUUCUUAUGAAUUAGCAAGCCUAAAGCAUUUUUUAGUGGAUAAAUAAGUGGAUGGUGCACUUCAGCAACUCAGCUUCAACAUUUUUCGAUAGCUUCUGCAAUGACCAUAAAAUUCCUACAAGAUCUACAGAGAUUGGAAGCAG